UUGGGUUCCCACUCUUUUCUCUUCAUCAGCAAACUAGACGCUUGCCCUUGUACGAAAAGAAAAGGCUUCCUUCGAUCUAACCGAUAGAAUUAUUGGUGAACUGAUUAAACCAGCGACAUGUUCUAGAUCCAUGGCGGUUGCAUCCCUAUCAGGCUACCGGGGGAAGCUGCAGGUCAGCCAGACCCUGAAACUGCUUCUCUCCGGUGAACACCUAGU
rnacentral:lncRNA from 1 species